GACGAACGCUGGCGGCGUGCUUAACACAUGCAAGUCGAACGGAAAGGCCCUGCUUUUGUGGGUUGCUCGAUUGGCGAACGGGUGAGUAACACGUGAGUAACCUGCCCUUGACUUUGGGAUAACUUCAGGAAACUGGGGCUCAUACCGCAUAGGAGCUCCUGCUGCAUGGUGGGGGUUGGAACGUUUCGGCGGUUGGGGAUGGACUCGCGGCUUAUCAGCUUGUUGGUGGGGUAGUGGCUUACCAAGGCUUUGACGGGUAGCCGGCCUGAGAGGGUGACCGGCCACAUUGGGACUGAGAUACGGCCCAGACUCCUACGGGAGGCAGCAGUGGGGAAUAUUGCACAAUGGGCGGAAGCCUGAUGCAGCAACGCCGCGUGCGGGAUGACGGCCUUCGGGUUGUAAACCGCUUUCGCCUGUGACGAAGCGUGAGUGACGGUAAUGGGUAAAGAAGCACCGGCUAACUACGUG
rnacentral:rRNA from 1 species